AACUCACAACAAUCUACAGCCAAAGCACAAUACUAAAGUGUUAUUUUACAUGUCCAAGAAAACUUUAUAACAUACUUUAAUAGUGCUAAACCACUGCAAAAUCUUCUCCACAAAUUCUUUUAUUCCUACUAUUCCGCGCCUAGGUUUAAGGGCAAGGGGUAAGCUUUGGGAAGCUUAGUAAGCAAACUAGCAAAUAUUCAUUUUUCAUAUAAUUCAAUUCAUACAUAUGCAAUGCAUCAAUCACAUGAGUUUAUACAACACAAACAAUUCACAUAAGAUAGACUUGUCACCAAUGAUUUUUCGUAACCACUUUGCUCGACUCAUAAAGAUGUUCCUCAGGACUUCCUCUUAAUACAUAACAUA
rnacentral:misc_RNA from 1 species